rnacentral:rRNA from 1 species
AUGGAAGCGGCACCGUCGGCCGAAAGCAAGAAGACAUGGGGGGCGGUGGAUGUGGUGGUGGUGGAGGCGGGGGGAGUAGCGGCGGCAGUUCUUGGUGAUACGGCUGGGGGUGGGGGUGGGGAUGGGGCAGUGAGGGCGGUGGUGGAGGAGGAGGCGGCGGAGGAGGUGGCGGCGGUGGCAAGAGCACCAGGUCGGAGUGGCGCGGAAACGGAAGCCGGCCGGGGGCGGCGCGCGGGAGGAGAGCGCGGCAUCGGCCCAGCUACAGCUCGAGAAUGUACCGCAGGGGGAGUACGCGCGUUGCACGGCGCCGGGGAGGUGCCGGGGCAUGAAGCUGCUGUGCCCGAUGCAGUGCGACGGCCCUUGCUUCUACGACUGCGACGCCAACUGCAAGGCGCACUGCCGAUUCUAGCUCCAUGUGUUGCUGCAUGUGUGACUGUUUUUAUGAUGUGUCAGUGUGGUUGCUCCGUUGAUGCCACCGUCUCAGCUUUGUUUUCUUUUUAUCCUUCGGUUAUAUGUUGUGUUUACUUUGGGAUCACAUGGCUUGUGUUUUCUUGA